rnacentral:rRNA from 1 species
GACGAACGCUGGCGGCGCGCUUAACACAUGCAAGUCGAACGGUGAAGCGCCUUCCUUCUUGGUGGGUGUGGAUGAGUGGCGAAGGGGUGAGCAACAGGAGAGUAACCUGCCGCCUUCUACUGGAUAACCGCAUGAAAGCGUGGAUAAUACAGGAUAUCCUGGGUCUGUCGCAUGAUGGGACAGGGAAAGAUAUUGUUUCGGUGGGGGAUGGGCUCGCGGCCUAUCAGCGUGUGGGUGGGGUGAUGGCCUACCAAGGCGGUGACGGGUAGCCGGCCUGGGAGCGUUGGGUGUCCCACUUGGACUGAGACACGGCCCAGACUCCUACGGGAGACAGCAGUGGGUACUACGGCACGAUGGGGGCAAGCCUGAUGCAGCGUCGCCGCGUGCGGGGUGGAGGCCUGCGGGUUGUGAACAUCUUUCGCCAGUGUAGCAGGCCUGCCUUGUUUGUGGGUAGGUUGACGGUAGCUGGAUAAGAAGCGCCGGCUAACUACGUG